GAUGAACGCUGGCGGCGUGCCUAAUACAUGCAAGUCGAGCGAACAGACGAGGAGCUUGCUCCUCUGACGUUAGCGGCGGACGGGUGAGUAACACGUGGAUAACCUACCUAUAAGACUGGGAUAACUUCGGGAAACCGGAGCUAAUACCGGAUAACAUGUUGAACCGCAUGGUUUAACAGUGAAAGACGGUCUUGCUGUCACUUAUAGAUGGAUCCGCGCCGCAUUAGCUAGUUGGUAAGGUAACGGCUUACCAAGGCAACGAUGCGUAGCCGACCUGAGAGGGUGGUCGGCCACACUGGAACUGAGACACGGUCCAGACUCCUACGGGAGGCAGCAGUAGGGAAUCUUCCGCAAUGGGCGAAAGCCUGACGGAGCAACGCCGCGUGAGUGAAGAAGGUCUUCGGAUCGUAAAACUCUGUUAUUAGGGAAGAACAAAUGUGUAAGUAACUAUGCACGUCUUGACGGUACCUAAUCAGAAAGCCACGGCUAACUACGUG
rnacentral:rRNA from 1 species